GACGAACGCUGGCGGCGUGCUUAACACAUGCAAGUCGAACGGAAAGGCCCUGCUUUUGUGGGGUGCUCGAGUGGCGAACGGGUGAGUAACACGUGAGUAACCUGCCCUUGACUUUGGGAUAACUUCAGGAAACUGGGGCUAAUACCGGAUAGGAGCUCCUGCUGCAUGGUGGGGGUUGGAAAGUUUCGGCGGUUGGGGAUGGACUCGCGGCUUAUCAGCUUGUUGGUGGGGUAGUGGCUUACCAAGGCUUUGACGGGUAGCCGGCCUGAGAGGGUGACCGGCCACAUUGGGACUGAGAUACGGCCCAGACUCCUACGGGAGGCAGCAGUGGGGAAUAUUGCACAAUGGGCGGAAGCCUGAUGCAGCAACGCCGCGUGCGGGAUGACGGCCUUCGGGUUGUAAACUCCUUUCACCAUCGACGAAGGGUUUCUGACGGUAGAUGGAGAAGAAGCACCGGCUAACUACGUG
rnacentral:rRNA from 1 species